GAUGAACGCUGGCGGCGUGCCUAAUACAUGCAAGUCGAGCGAACAGAUGAGGAGCUUGCUCCUCUGACGUUAGCGGCGGACGGGUGAGUAACACGUGGAUAACCUACCUAUAAGACUGGGAUAACUCCGGGAAACCGGAGCUAAUACCGGAUAAUAUAUUGAACCGCAUGGUUCAAUAGUGAAAGACGGUUUUGCUGUCACUUAUAGAUGGAUCCGCGCCGCAUUAGCUAGUUGGUAAGGUAACGGCUUACCAAGGCGACGAUGCGUAGCCGACCUGAGAGGGUGAUCGGCCACACUGGAACUGAGACACGGUCCAGACUCCUACGGGAGGCAGCAGUAGGGAAUCUUCCGCAAUGGGCGAAAGCCUGACGGAGCAACGCCGCGUGAGUGAUGAAGGUCUUCGGAUCGUAAAACCCUGUUAUUAGGGAAGAACAAAUGUGUAAGUAACUAUGCACGUCUUGACGGUACCUAAUCAGAAAGCCACGGCUAACUACGUG
rnacentral:rRNA from 1 species